rnacentral:rRNA from 1 species
GACUCCGACUUCAUGGGGUCGAGUUGCAGACCCCAAUCCGAACUGAGACCGGCUUUUUGGGAUUCGCUCCACCUUACGGUAUCGCAGCCCUCUGUACCGGCCAUUGUAGCAUGCGUGAAGCCCAAGACAUAAGGGGCAUGAUGAUUUGACGUCAUUCCCACCUUCCUCCGAGUUGACCCCGGCAGUCUCCCAUGAGUCCCCGGCAUAACCCGCUGGCAACAUAGGACGAGGGUUGCGCUCGUUGCGGGACUUAACCCAACAUCUCACGACACGAGCUGACGACAACCAUGCACCACCUGUGUACGAGUGUCCAAAGAGAACCCCGUCUCGGGGGCUUUCUCGUACAUGUCAAGCCUUGGUAAGGUUCUUCGCGUUGCAUCGAAUUAAUCCGCAUGCUCCGCCGCUUGUGCGGGCCCCCGUCAAUUCCUUUGAGUUUUAGCCUUGCGGCCGUACUCCCCAGGCGGGGCACUUAAUGCGUUAGCUGCGGCACGGAACUCGUGGAAUGAGCCCCACACCUAGUGCCCAACGUUUACGGCAUGGACUACCAGGGUAUCUAAUCCUGUUCGCUCCCCAUGCUUUCGCUCCUCAGCGUCAGUUGCGGCCCAGAGACCUGCCUUCGCCAUCGGUGUUCCUCCUGAUAUCUGCGCAUUCCACCGCUACACCAGGAAUUCCAGUCUCCCCUACCGCACUCUAGUCUGCCCGUACCCGAUGCAAGCCCGAGGUUGAGCCUCGGGAUUUCACACCAGACGCGACAGACCGCCUACGAGCUCUUUACGCCCAAUAAUUCCGGACAACGCUUGCGCCCUACGUAUUACCGCGGCUGCUGGCACGUAGUUAGCCGGCGCUUCUUCUGCAGGUACCGUCACUUGCGCUUCUUCCCUGCUGAAAGAGGUUUACAACCCGAAGGCCGUCAUCCCUCACGCGGCGUCGCUGCAUCAGGCUUGCGCCCAUUGUGCAAUAUUCCCCACUGCUGCCUCCCGUAGGAGUCUGGGCCGUGUCUCAGUCCCAGUGUGGCCGGUCGCCCUCUCAGGCCGGCUACCCGUCGACGCCUUGGUAGGCCAUCACCCCACCAACAAGCUGAUAGGCCGCGAGCCCAUCCCCCACCGAAAAACUUUCCAACCCACACCAUGCGAUGCGAGCUCAUAUCCGGUAUUAGACCCCGUUUCCAAGGCUUAUCCCGAAGUGGAGGGCAGGUUGCUCACGUGUUACUCACCCGUUCGCCACUGAUCCACCCAGCAAGCUGGGCUUCAC